GCUAGAGACAGGCUUUGGAAGAAAAAAUCUGAGUUCAAAUCCUAUUUCCUACCACUUACAAGCCGCAGUGUUGAGUAAGUUACCCAGGCUUCCUGAGACUCAGUUUCCUCCUUUGUAAAUAGACUCAUCUAGAGAAGUUGUUGUGAGAACUUGGCCAAAACGCGUGAUCCUCUCUGGAAAUGAUUUUAGAAACAAAAGUAACAACAACAAAACAGAUAUAACCACAACUACCCAUAAACAGAAUGUGGGUUGGAGCCCAGGACCAUCUGGAGCCCGGGUUCUAGAUCUGAAACAGUGUUAGAGAGUGGAGGAUUCCACAUUUCACGGGAGGGCAGCAAUAGCUUUGCAAAACACCUCACAUGGGGAUUCCUUUAAUCAGUGAGGAGCGACAUGCAUUGCAAUACGUAUUUAAUUCAUCUGUGGCAACUGACUAUUACCACCGUGAUGCCCCACAAAGGAUGAGAGAGGACGGCUCUGAAAAGAGACCACACCACUGUGGAAAAGCGGAAUACAGUUUUCAAAAGUGCACUGCUAUUCUUCAGGAAAGCAAGUGGAUUUCCAUGACUACAACUUCUACCCACAAUUCAAUUUGAUAAUUCAACACAUAUGUACAGAGCCUAGCACCAGGCUGAAGCUGAAUGGGAAAUCCUGGCACGAACACCCCUGAAUGACAAGGAGAUCUCUGCAGUCCCCGAAGUUGGCAAUGGUUUGGGGACCAUCUCUUCAGUCCCUGCAGUCCCUAGACAGGCUGGGACAGACAUCAGUGUUCUGACAGUCACGGUCAGGGUAGGACAAGAGGUCUCUUGCUUUGCCCAGACCUGCAGGCAGGCAGAUCCUUGGGAGCCUGCGUCCCAGUUCUCCUUUCUGAUUUUUCUGGGUGGGGCAUGGACCUCCCAUGCUCCACAACAGGCUCUUGGCUUUGAUAAUAAAGAACGGAAGCUGG